rnacentral:lncRNA from 1 species
UACUGCAGCAUUUUGUAAGAACCUCCUUUUUGAAAUAUAAUUGUUUAGCUUGGAAGAUUCUUGUAUUUGUAAAUAAAACACAACUACAAAUUUUUGCAAGAGGAUCAUUUACAUAAGAGAAGAGAUAAUUGCACAAGUAUUUUUAUACUCGUUCACUCCAACUAAGCUACGUCCAAUCUCCUCCGUAGAGGGUUCCGUUAUAAUCUUCACAAGAUUACAACUGAGUAUUCUCACCACUCGUGGUCUGAGUAUUCGCACCACUCCUGG